UGAGGCCUGAAACGUGACAUAG
rnacentral:siRNA from 1 species